CGGGAUUGCCCCAGUAACGGCGAGUGAAGCGGCAACAGCUCAAAUUUGAAAUCUGACCUCGCCCGGGGUCCGAGUUGUAAUUUGUAGAGGAUGCUUCGGGUGACGGUCCCGCUUAAGUCCCUUGGAACAGGGCGUCAUAGAGGGUGAGAAUCCCGUCUGCGGUGGGCACCCGGCCCUGCCAGAAGCUCCUUCGACGAGUCGAGUUGUUUGGGAAUGCAGCUCUAAACGGGUGGUAAAUUUCAUCUAAAGCUAAAUACCGGCCGGAGACCGAUAGCGCACAAGUAGAGUGAUCGAAAGAUGAAAAGCACUUUGGAAAGAGAGUCAAACAGUAUGUGAAAUUGUUGAAAGGGAAGCGCCUGCGACCAGACCUGUCUGCGGGCGAUCACCCGCCGUUCUCGGCGGGGCACUCGUCCGUCAGCAGGCCAGCGUCGGUUUUGGCGGCCGGACAAAGCCCCCGGGAACGUACCUACCCUCCGGGGAAGGCUUAUAGCCCGGGGUGACAUGCGGCCAGCCGGGACCGAGGACCGCGCUCCGGCGAGGAUGCUGGCGUAAUGGCCUUAGGCGGCCCGUCUUGAAACACGGACCAAGGAGUCUAACAUCUAUGCGAGUGUUUGGGCGUCAGACCCACACGCGGAAUGAAAGUGAACGGAGGUGGGAACCCUUCCGGGCGCACCAUCGACCGAUCCAGAUGUCUUCGGAUGGAUUUGAGUAUGAGCAUAGCCGUUAGGACCCGAAAGACGGUGAACUACACAUGGAUAGGGUGAAGCCAGAGGAAACUCUGGUGGAGGCUCGCAGCGGUUCUGACGUGCAAAUCGAUCGUCAAAUCAGUGUGUAGGGGCGAAAGACUAAUCGAACCGUCUGGUAGCUGGUUUCGGCCGAAGUUUCCCUCAGGAUAGCAGUAACGUUUUUCAGUUUUUAUGAGGUAAAGCGAAUGAUUAGAGGCCUUGGGGGGCGUAACGCCCUUCAACCUAUUCUCAAACUUUAAAUAUGUAAGAAGUCCUUGUUGCUUGGUUGAACGUGGACAUUCGAAUGCACCGUUACUAGUGGGCCAUUUUUGGUAAGCAGAACUGGCGAUGCGGGAUGAACCGAACGUGAGGUUAAGGUGCCGGAAUGCACGCUCAUCAGACACCACAAAAAGUGUUAGUUCAUCCAGACAGCCGGACGGUGGCCAUGGAAGUCGGAACCCGCUAAGGAGUGUGUUGGUCAUGUGCUUCACCCCCUGGGUUUUUAAACGCCGUAGUACCAUAACACAAUGUACGUUACAUGCUCCUCAAAGUUUGUAAACUAAAGUUGAUUUGGCGAAUUAUCCUCCCAGUUGGAACGAAAGCCUACAACAAUGUUUAGACUUUUGUACUGGCUGGAGAUAUCUGAUGGACAAGCUUGCGGGAAGUAAGGCAUACUCAACAGUCUUGCCGCGUGUGGAACCUGGAGGAAAUGUGUGUACACACACUGUAGUUCUAAUGCAGAAAAUACAUGCAUUUUGUUGCCAAACAUUCUAUAGAGCUUGAAAGUCCGCUGAUAGUCACUUGAUCAUUCUAAAUUCAAGGGGGUGUGGUUGUUACCAGCCACGCAUCCUGAGCCUAAACCACUGUAGAUAGCAGUGAAUUAGGUCGACAGACUAAACAGAAUGGGUUCCCACGCGGAACUUUGAUAUAGUCGUCCCCGGAGCCCAAAUGGUUCUGGCGUCGGAUAGGGGGCUGUUCGCAAGACAGCGGGCGACUUGACGUCGUCCCUUGCCCUGUUGCUUACCCCAAGUUGGAUCCUCUUGAAGUGCUUUGGUCUGGUUAAAUCUUGGUGCUCGGUGGAUUCCUGGAGACUUGAAUCCUUGGGGUGGUAGAUCCGUCUGGCGGUGUAACAACCCACCGGCCGAAUGAACUAGCCUUGAAAAUGGAUGGCGCUCAAGCGUGCUACCUAUACCUCGCCGCCAGGGUAGAAACGAUGCCCUGGCGAGUAGGCCGACGUGGAGGUCCGUGACGAAGC
rnacentral:rRNA from 1 species